rnacentral:rRNA from 1 species
UUGAUAGUACCUUACUACUUGGAUAACCGUGGUAAUUCUAGAGCUAAUACAUGCUGAAAAUCCCGACUUCGGAAGGGAGGUAUUUAUUAGAUUAAAAACCAAUGCCCUCUGGGCUCCUUGGUGAUUCAUAAUAACUUUUCGAAUCGCACGGCCUUGCGCCGGCGAUGGUUCAUUCAAAUUUCUUCCCUAUCAACUUUCGAUGUUUGGGUAUUGGCCAAACAUGGUCGCAACGGGUAACGGAGGGUUAGGGCUCGACCCCGGAGAAGGAGCCUGAGAAACGGCUACUACAUCCAAGGAAGGCAGCAGGCGCGCAAAUUACCCAAUCCCGAUUCGGGGAGGUAGUGACAAUAAAUACUGAUACAGGGCUCUUUUGGGUCUUGUAAUUGGAAUGAGUACAAUUUAAAUCUCUUAACGAGGAACAAUUGGAGGGCAAGUCUGGUGCCAGCAGCCGCGGUAAUUCCAGCUCCAAUAGCGUAUAUUAAAGUUGUUGUGGUUAAAAAGCUCGUAGUUGAACCUUGGGCCUGGCUGGCCGGUCCGCCUCACCGCGUGUACUGGUCCGGCCGGGCCUUUCCCUCUGUGGAACCUCAUGCCCUUCACUGGGUGUGGCGGGGAAACAGGACUUUUACUUUGAAAAAAUUAGAGUGCUCCAGGCAGGCCUAUGCUCGAAUACAUUAGCAUGGAAUAAUAAAAUAGGACGCGUGGUUCUAUUUUGUUGGUUUCUAGGACCGCCGUAAUGAUUAAUAGGGACAGUCGGGGGCAUCAGUAUUCAAUUGUCAGAGGUGAAAUUCUUAGAUUUAUUGAAGACUAACUACUGCGAAAGCAUUUGCCAAGGAUGUUUUCAUUAAUCAGGAACGAAAGUUAGGGGAUCGAAGACGAUCAGAUACCGUCGUAGUCUUAACCAUAAACUAUGCCGACUAGGGAUCGGACGAUGUUAUUUUUUGACGCGUUCGGCACCUUACGAGAAAUCAAAGUGCUUGGGCUCCAGGGGGAGUAUGGUCGCAAGGCUGAAACUUAAAGAAAUUGACGGAAGGGCACCACCAGGGGUAAACCGCUUCAUGCAGCCGCAGUAGCUCUGCUCCCAAAAGCAGCCCGAAAGGGUCAGUGGUGUUCCUGUCCGCGCUCCGGCGCGGCGAACCAAGUGCUAGUCUCUCCGGAGGCGACACCCUCAAAUUGCGGGAAACUUCUAAAACCAGUGUCACCAAGCCGGCGUCGAAAAGGCGUCGGUGGCCGGGGCAAUGACCUAGGGUACGGUAAAAGCACACUGGAUAUAUGGACAAUCCGCAGCCAAGCCUCGUCACGGGGAAGGUUCAGAGACUAAAUGGGGGUGGGUAGUGUGCUGGAGGAUUCGUCCUCCGAGCGCUCGCUCACACACUGCUUAAGAUAUAGUCCGCCCGCGCUGGAAACAGCGCGGAUUGGCAAGCUCAAAUAAACGGGAGCCUGCGGCUUAAUUUGACUCAACACGGGGAAACUCACCAGGUCCAGACACAAUGAGGAU